UAAGUAAAAUGUUUCAUUAACCGAAGGGC
rnacentral:sRNA from 1 species